AACGAACGCUGACGGCGUGGAUAAGACAUGCAAGUCGAGCGAUUACAUCAGGGUAGCAAUAUUCUGGUGUGAGAGCGGCGCAAGGGUGCGUAACACGUGGGUAAUCUGCCAUGAAGUUUGGGAUAACUCCGCGAAAGCGGGACUAAUACCGGAUGUGACAGCCUGGAGGCAUCUUCGGGUUGUUAAAGUUGGGGACCGUAAGGCCUGACGCUUCAUGAUGAGCCCGCGGCCUAUCAGCCAGUUGGUGAGGUAACGGCUCACCAAGGCUAAGACGGGUAGCUGGUCUGAGAGGACGACCAGCCACACUGGAACUGAGACACGGUCCAGACACCUACGGGUGGCAGCAGUCGAGAAUUUUUCACAAUGGGCGCAAGCCUGAUGGAGCGACGCCGCGUGGGGGAUGAAUGGCUUCGGCCCGUAAACCCCUGUCAUUUGCGAUCAAACCUUGCUAUUUAAAAGAUGGCGAGCUGAUAGUAGCGAAAGAGGAAGGGACGGCUAACUCUGUGC
rnacentral:rRNA from 1 species